GCCUGGGAGGCUCAGUUGGUCGAGCGUCUGACUUCCGCUCAGGUCAUAGUCUCGCGGUGUGUGAGUUCAAGCCCCGCGUCGGGCU
rnacentral:tRNA from 1 species